CGAAGCUACGGCAUCAGUAAUGAUGGGUAGGGGAGCUUCCCAUACGGGUUGAAGCAUGACCGUAAGGACAUGUGGACAGUAUGGGAGGGAGAAUGUUGGCAUGAGUAGCGAGAUGUGGGUGAGAAUCACACAGGCCGUAAACCCAAGGUUUCCAGGGGAAGGUUCGUCCGCCCUGGGUUAGUCGGGACCUAAGCUGAGGCCGAAAGG
rnacentral:rRNA from 1 species